rnacentral:lncRNA from 1 species
AUGAGGUGGUUAGCUCCACCCCAACCCCAGUUUGUCUUGGGUUUGUGCCCAAUUAUGAGCACAACUCUGAAAGAGAUGGUAGCAGCAAACUUCUUGGAUAUUAAUAGCUCCUGCUUUUCUUUAAAUGCUGCAAGGAAAGAGAAGCUCUUCCAGCUACCUAAGAAAGGCUGUGUAGGACUGUGAAAUGCCGUGACCUCAAAAGGUCAAAGCAGCAAAACACUGUGCUUCAAUGUCUCUGCUCUGGACAAACUUCAGCUCUUUGUUUGCUUUGUCUUGAUGGAAAAUCAACCAAAAUCAAUACUGGUGAGAUAAGGACCCCAAGUGAGUAUAUAUUUCUCUAAAUCGAUCAGGCACAUGUAACAGACACUUGGAAAUACUUUGGUGAUAGCCAUGCCUAUUUAUACAAGAAUUCAUAUAUAUGCAAGGAUUUCUAAGCUUAUACAUCCUGGCACAGAUCACCCUUUCGAAGAAAAAAAUACCAUAUGCUGCUUUCAGUUUUAAAAAGUCAUUGGUUAGUUGCCAUACAUAGUUAGUGGGGGUUUUUUUCCCUAGCACAUCUUUUCUACAGAAACCAUAUAAUGGGAGGGAUGGACCAGCUUUGCCAGCACUAGAGAUUAGUUUACAGUGUUAUCUCAGCUGUUGCUCGGUUCAGAGGUGUUGCAGUAUUUACAUAGAAGUCCACUGCUGAUAGCUGCAUUGAAUUCCUCCCCAAUCAGACCUGCUCUGACACAUCCUACAUUCCCUCUGGCUAGAAACAGACAGACUCUCCUGGAACUGAGAGACAGCCAGCUCUCACUGAAAAAUCUAUGAAACAGUUUGUAUUUUCUUGUUUACUUUCUAACUAAAUUUCUGCUUUCUCUACUAUCUCCUCAAGUUUUAUAUUUCUAAUGCAGCAGGACUCACAGUUAGGAUCCUGAGGCACUUGAGAACUCAUCAGUCCACACACCACUCUCCCAUAUAUUGCAAGGUCAAAUGAAAAGGGCACCACACAUCGUACGUAAUUCCAAAAUAUCAUUCCCUUCCUUGUA